rnacentral:rRNA from 1 species
UCUGCCCCUGACUCUGGGAUAAGCGCUGGAAACGGCGUCUAAUACCGGAUACGAGCUGCGACCGCAUGGUCAGUAGCUGGAAAGAAUUUCGGUCAGGGAUGAGCUCGCGGCCUAUCAGCUUGUUGGUGAGGUAAUGGCUCACCAAGGCGUCGACGGGUAGCCGGCCUGAGAGGGUGACCGGCCACACUGGGACUGAGACACGGCCCAGACUCCUACGGGAGGCAGCAGUGGGGAAUAUUGCACAAUGGGCGCAAGCCUGAUGCAGCAACGCCGCGUGAGGGAUGACGGCCUUCGGGUUGUAAACCUCUUUUAGCAGGGAAGAAGCGAAAGUGACGGUACCUGCAGAAAAAGCGCCGGCUAACUACGUGCCAGCAGCCGCGGUAAUACGUAGGGCGCAAGCGUUAUCCGGAAUUAUUGGGCGUAAAGAGCUCGUAGGCGGUCUGUCGCGUCUGCUGUGAAAACCCGAGGCUCAACCUCGGGCCUGCAGUGGGGUACGGGCAGACUAGAGUGCGGUAGGGGAGAUUGGAAAUUCCUGGUGUAGCGGUGGAAUGCG